ACCGCCCUGUAAGCACUUAUCU
rnacentral:miRNA from 1 species